GAGUUUGAUCCUGGCUCAGAACGAACGCUGGCGGCAUGCUUAACACAUGCAAGUUGAACGCAGAAUAGGCCUUCGGGUCUAUUGCUGAGUAGCAAACGGGUGAGUAACGCGUGGGAAUCUACCUUUUUGUGGGGGAUAACUGAGGGAAACUUCAGCUAAUACCGCAUAAGCUCUACGGAGGAAAGGCCUUACGGCUUUUCAGUAUAGAGGUGUAUCAGUCUAGCUGGCACACUCCUACACUGAGUAGUCGUAGGUCGCGAAAAGAGGAGCCCGCGUCAGAUUAGGUAGUUGGUGGGGUAAAGGCCUACCAAGCCAAUGAUCUGUAGCUGGUCUGAGAGGAUGAUCAGCCACACUGGGACUGAGACACGGCCCAGA
rnacentral:rRNA from 1 species